rnacentral:rRNA from 1 species
CACAGCUCCCCUGUCAAGGUCUUGGGCUCCAACGGAUCCCAUCAGAACUCCGAAGUUAAACGUGCUUGGGCAGAGUAGUACUAAGAUGGGUGUCCUCUUGGGAAGUCCUCGUGUUGCACCCC